rnacentral:lncRNA from 1 species
CACCUUCACAUAUUUCUUCUCCACUCUCUAUCUGGAAGUUCCUGGUCAUAUCGGAGCAUCCCUCUAAUUUCCAAACAUUCUAAGGAUCACUUGUUAGUGUUCCUUUCCAGCUCUUUUCGUUUUUAUAGGCUUUUAUAAGACGAAAGUCAAGCAAAUUGACUUUUGCUUUGACUUUCAUUUUAGACCAUUAUGGUCCAGCAAUUGUUCGAAUCGAACAUGGCUACGCUUGGGAUACGGUAAAUUCUUACUGCUUGGUCAGGCAUGCGAUCAAAUGUUGGAUUGUGACUAGAAAAUCCACAUAACCUGUUUUAAUUUAUUUUGUCUGAUAUCCUCAGCUCAUUUAAUGGCAAAUGGCCACGACUUAAGCAUGGGGUGUAGGCAUACACCUGACAGAUGUUAAUGCUAUUAUAAAAUAUUUUCUACCCAUAUUGGGGAUACCUUUUUAUGGGUUAAAAGCGGUGUGUCGGUUAAUCAUGUUAUUUAGUUUCUGUACAAGGCCUCAUAUGUAUUAACAGGCAUGUAAAACUGUAUACAAGAUAAUUGUUAUUGUCCCAAGUUAUUUAUAAAAUUACAUGUGCCUUUGUGCACUUAAAACAAUUUGAAAUAUUUUCAAAAUUUGUCGGUUACUUGUGUCUAACGAUGUAAACUGACGUAUCUUCAAAAGACUAAGUGACAGGUUCCAAGGUUACAAAAUAGGCUGGAAGUGCCAGUAAUGCUUAAGAGGAAUUUGUGACUCCUUGCAUUAGAAGCCUAUUAGUCUGUUAUUUCAUUUUGUACAUUUACGAUCCGCCUGUGGAUCUUUUGAUACAUUAUCCGUCUGUAUAAUAUUUUGAACACUCGGACAUUUAUAUUGUAAUAUUUUAAAUCCA